CUGUGCAUAAAUGCAAGGCUUGGCUGUGCGGCAAAGUGCUAUGACUUAGAGACACGGUGGAUGAGGCCAGUUCUCGAGAGCUGGCACAGGGUAGGGAUGUUGACACACAUCGCAGGAGGAAGGCUGGAUGCAGCAACAGAGAACCGUGUUUAAUAUAAAACUGCAUCCGAUGCUGAGUUUAUGGGCUGGCCGCAGAGCAUCCUCUGUCUCCGAUUACAAUGGUCUAGGUUCACAAGAGGCAUUCCCUGCCAUAACAAAAUUACCUGAGUUCCAGCCCACUGCACAGGCCACAUUCUCCAGCUUGCUUCCCCUGUAGGAACUUCCUCUCACGAACUACUCCCAUAUGUCAUGUCCACUAAAGAGCAUCAGUGGUAAGUCUUCUAUUACUUUUCUAAACUAUUCUCAUUUAGUCUGAUUAAGUGAGAAAUUAAAAUAUUACCCUUGUUUUUCCAAAUUAAAAUAAUAUCAGAGUAUAUCCUUUUUUCAAUAUAUCUUUAAUUAUUUAAUAUAUCUUUAAA
rnacentral:lncRNA from 1 species